rnacentral:rRNA from 1 species
UACGUAGGCAGCGAGCGUUGUUCGGAGUUACUGGGCGUAAAGGGUGUGUCGGCGGUUGGUUAAGUUUGGGGGGAAAUCUCCCGGCUCAACUGGGAGGGUGCGCCGAAUACUGAAUGACUAGAGUGCGGGAGAGGAAAGUGGAAUUCCUGGUGUAGCGGUGAAAUGCGUAGAUAUCAGGAGGAACACCGGUGGUGUAGACGGCUUUCUGGACCGUAACUGACGCUGAGACACGAAAGCGUGGGUAGCAAACAGG